rnacentral:lncRNA from 1 species
UUUUGAUAUCUUAUUUUUGGGUAAACUUCAUAUACUAUAUCUAUAAUUUUGCACUUUCUCACUUUAAUAUUAUGUUGUUUAAAAUAUAUUAAUUUAGUAUAGUGUGGUUUCAUUAUCUUUUUUCUUCAUUUAUUUUUCAUUAAAUCAUAUAUAAAAAACUUCACAUAUCUAUAUAUAAUUUAUUAAAUAUUCACUUUACUACUCUUUAAUUUUAACUUUGUCGCUGAUUUAACAAACAAAAUUAGUAAAGAGAAUAACAAAAAAAUAAAAUAAAAUCAUAAAGUACAAAAGUGAUACACUUUAAAAUAAAAAAUAUUAAAAUAUAAAAAUACGAAAUCACAGCAAUAAUAUUUAAAGUUUUUUUUUAUUUUUUUAUUUUGUUAGUG